rnacentral:tRNA from 1 species
CAGCUAUAACUGGUAGAGCCUUUGGCGCGUAACCAAACGAUCCGGGUUCGAGUCCCGGUCUGG